GGAUGUGAGCCGGGAUCUGGCGGCCGCCUCUGUCACUGCAUUGAUCGCCAGGGCUGACUGGGCUGAUCUGGCUGGCUAGGCAGGUGUCACCUUCCUCCCUCAUCAUUCCUUGUGUGUCCCUCCUGACCCUGCAGCUCUGGCUCUGCUAGGUGGUGGACUAGGACUAUCCUCCCGCUAGAGUUCUUUGGUCAAGGGCAUAGGAGUAGCUGUGCUCUCCUGCCAGAACCUCUAAACAGGCUCUCAAGGUCCAUCUGUAAUAGAACAUCAGGUAAUCAAAUUGCCAAGACCCCAGACACACCCACAUGAGGGGCUGCAAGCAGCAGUCGGCCUUCCUUU
ensembl:misc_RNA 7SK 7SK RNA